CUUUCUUCUUCUAAUUUCUGUGUUUUAGCUGAACCAGUUUGCGGUGCUUCGCGUGAGGUAGGGUUUUGAACGCUAAAAGCCUUCUUCGCCUCCUUCGACGACCUUCCUUCCAGUUCGCCGAGCUUCCGCUCGCUGUGAAGCCCGGGCAAUCGCUCGUCAUCAACCCCGCUGCCUUCGCCGCAUCGUUGCUUGGCUAACCUGCGAGAAUAACUUGCUGUUGGUGGUCCUACUUGGAAGCGUCGAAGCUAGAGUCGCGAAGGGGAAGAUGGUUCGUGCUUACCGAAUUAAGGUUCCGAAGUCCAUGAAACGGAAGAGAUCGGAGGAAGAGAUUGUAUCCGAAGCUGCAGAUUACAGACAUCUUGACAGAGAGGACGAGGGAAAACCUGAGGAUGUGAUCGGAGACAUGCCGGGGAUCCCCGUCAUGCCCCCAGCGGAUGGGUCGAAGAAGUCUAAUGUGAUAUUUAUUCUCGAUAAGGCCCCGCUUGAGAUCGGAAAAGUUGGUAAC